rnacentral:miRNA from 1 species
UAUUAGGUUGGUGCAAAAGUAAUUGCGGUUUUUGCCAUUAAAAGUAAUGACAAAAGUCACAAUUACUUUUG